rnacentral:rRNA from 1 species
AAAGAUUAAGCCAUGCAUGUCUAAGCACAUGCCUUAAUACGGUGAAGCCGCGAAUAGCUCAUUACAACAGCCACCGUUUACUAGAAAUAGUUAUCCUACUUGGAUAACUCUGGCAAUUCUAGAGCUAAUACAUGCAAUAAAGCUCCGCCCUGCGAAGGAACGAGCGCAUUUAUUAGAAUAAAAACCAAUCGGGUCUCGGCCCGUAAUUUGGUGAAUCUGAAUAACUUUGCCAAUCGCACGGUCCUAGUACCGGCGAUAUAUCUUUCAAGUGUCUGCCUUAUCAACUUUCGUUGGUAGGUUAUACGCCUACCAAGGUAGUAACGGGUAACGGAGAAUAAGGGUUCGACUCCGGAGAGGGAGCCUGAGAAACGGCUACCACAUCCAAGGAAGGCAGCAGGCGCGCAAAUUACCCACUUCCAGAACGGAGAGGUAGUGACGAAAAAUAACGAGACAGUCCUCUUCGAGGUCUGUCAUCGGAAUGGGUACAAUUUAAAUCCUUUAACGAGGAUCUAUUGGAGGGCAAGUCUGGUGCCAGCAGCCGCGGUAAUUCCAGCUCCAAUAGCGUAUAUUAAAGUUGUUGCGGUUAAAACGCUCGUAGUUGGAUCUGCGGCCUCGACGAACGGUCCCCCGAAAGGGUGGUCACUGUCUCGUCUAGCCUAAAUUCGAGUCGUCCCUAGGUGUUCUUAACCGAAUGCCUUGGGUGACCAGAACGUUUACUUUGAAAAAAUUAGAGUGCUUAAAGCAGGCGAAAUAGCCUGAAUAAAAUGCAUGGAAUAAUGGAAUAGGACCUCGGUUCUAUUUUGUUGGUUUUCGGAACCCGAGGUAAUGAUUAAGAGGAACAGACGGGGGCAUUCGUAUUCCGGCGCUAGAGGUGAAAUUCUUGGACCGCCGGAAGACGAACAACUGCGAAAGCAUUUGCCAAGAAUG